CCGAGUUUACAACUCCCAAACCCAAUGUGAACGUUACCAAACUGUUGCCUCGGCGGGAUCUUCUGCCCCGGGUGCGUCGCAGCCCCGGACCAAGGCGCCCGCCGGAGGACCAACUCCAAAACUCUUUUGUAUACCCCCUCGCGGGUUUUUUAUAUCUGAGCCAUCUCGGCGCCUCUCGGAGGCGUUUCGAAAAUGAAUCA
rnacentral:misc_RNA from 1 species